UGAAUCAAUGAAUCUAAUCAACAACGAGCAAUGGAGAUGGGCUGCGAUUCGCGAUGAAUCCAACCGGUGACAAGCUACUCAACCGACUAGUGGGUGAUGCGUAAGAAGAAGAGAAGAGAGAGGAGCCAAGUGGUGAAACCACGAGGUGGUCGUCCGGUGUCGAGCAACAAAGAUUGCAAUCAACGAUGAGCUACUCAACCAAUAAAGAUGCUGCAGCCAUUCGUUUCUAGGUAAGAAAAACAAGAUGGGUUAUUCGACUACUAGGUCAAAGAUUUUGUUUUUUCCUUCUUUUUUUUUUUCAAUUUAUAUUUUUAAUUGCAAAGAGAAUAUUUUGGAAAAAUAGAAAAAACAAUCGCCAUAGUUUUGUCUUUAGGGGGAAUGGGAUACCCCCAAACUGGAAUGAGAAUCCCAUUAAUCAAUCCUUAUUUUAUGUGGAUCCCGUGCACCUUCUUCCAUUCCCACACUCAAUUAAACAAGUAAACAAUUUCUUUAUUCUGAUUCCCGUUACUGUCUAGUAAACACUCCCAAUAGUCUAAAAGUCUAAAAGAACAGCGUGAAGUAUUCUAUUCUCUAGAUUAUAGAUGAUACAUCCCCAAAAUCGAUCCUUCUUACCAAUAUACUUACAACCCCGUAGUGUAAGAAUCUAAAAAGAUACAGAGACCGAGGGGGAAAAAAAGAAAGAAAAAAUGAAAAACAAAGUUUCUUAGGUACACACUCCACUCGGAAAAAUUAUUUAAAAAAAAAAAAUCAAAAACUCGAACGAGAGAAGGAAUCAAAACAGAUCAAAGAACAUUAGUACGCCCUAAAACCAAAUUGCUCACGCCUCACGAUCUAGAAUGAAACUCUCCAGUCUCCACACUUUAGAAGAACAAAUACAAAUGUUUAGAACACCCAUGCAGCCCAUUCAAGUUUCAACCAUUUCCUGGGCAGAGCAGCAGUAACAGCUUUAACAGAUACAGCUCCCUGGUCUGAGCUGACUCAAAGAAACCUCUCUUCAGCUCACCACUGUUAUCUUUUCAGACCUGAGCCAUCUGCUGCUUCAGUGCCUGCAGGGACUUGAUUUUGGAUUCACAAAUCCGAAGAAAUGCAGAGAGUCCUGCACGCUGCCCAGCUACAAAUUUCCUUGCAACAUCAACAGGACUCCAAGAUUUCAUAGCUUGAGAUAUCCG
rnacentral:lncRNA from 1 species